GUGAUGCGCCUCAUUAUUUUGUUUGCCACCAUUCUGCUUUCACCGUCUCUCCUUUUUUGAGUCUCUUGGGAAAAUUGCGUGCAGCACCGAGCGCCAUCUCUUGAGGGCACCACUAAUUUUUCUUGUUUAUUUUUUUCUAACUAUAGUCUGAUUUGUAUAGGCGAUAGAUACCAGUAUUUGACAAGACAUUUUUAAUGAUUUUGACGUUGAUACUGAUAAAACUGGAGAACAAGCUUGAGAGCAGGCAACAUUGCAUUUACCUUCUAAUAAUACUCCUCGAGAACAAACUGCUUUUUUUGUUCCAGGCGUACGAGGGUGAGAGGACCAGGAUCCGUGACAACAACCUCAACUUGCACUCUGCCUGUAGCAUCUGUUAUAACCAUGGUUAUAGUUGCUUUGAGAGGCAUAGGAGCUGGUGAAGUACAUUGAUUGAAAAUAUGCUUACAGGUGAUAUUGACCAAAAGAAAUUCUUUGGUCGGAGGUGUUAGUUCCUCACUUGGUCUGGCAGGAUCGUAUCAUUCCCAGCAAACAUGGAUUUCAUGAUCUUCAACCACCGCGGAAGGGCGCUGCCAUCAGACGCCGACUUGAAGCUGAAGAUAUGAACAACUAUUCACCGACUUUGAAGAUAUGAGCGAAAAUUAACCGAUCCAUCCAUACUUUUUGUGUCACCCAUGCUAAAGCAGGGGAAACCUUACCAGACCACAACUUAUCUACUUUUUAACUCUAGAAUUUGUAACACCAUUCCAUAUGUUAUAUGAAGGUUAGCUCUGAGCUUCUGUCCCAGCCUGAUGUAAUGCAAGUUUUAUG